AAAAGAGAAUUUCUUGGGUGGGCCUGAUGCAAUCAGGUGUGCCCAUAAAGGAGGCCCCGGGCCUUCUGUCAAGGCAGAGAUUUGAAGAAGCAGAGACUUUGCCCCUCCACUGUGGGCUCUGAGGGAAGCAGGCUGUCCUGAAUUCUACAGCCACAAGGAGACACAUUUGCCAGCAACUUGAGGAGCUCAGAAACAGACCCUUCCCUAGUUGGGUGUCCAGACAAGAACACAGCCCAGCAAAUACCUUGAUUUCAGCCUCGUGAGACCUUGAGCAGAGAGCCCAACUGAGUGGGGCCCAGACUCCCGAUUGUGAGGUCAUAGAUGUGUGUUGUGUUAUGCCACGAAGGUUCUAGCGAUUUGCUAAGCAGCGGCUGGGAACAAACAUGGCUGCCAUCAGCACACGUGGGAUGAGUGCCUGUGAUACCCACAGUCAACAAAUUCAUCGUGGUGGACAGUGCCUUGUUCAAUAUGAAUGUUACUUUAAGAUGCUGAUAGAUUGAGGAAACUUGAAAGAUGGUGCAAUUUGUUUAGUUCAACCCCUUUCCCCCCCACAUAAAGCAAUUGUGUCAAGAAAAUCCAGGUGGACUGUCUGUGGACAAAUGAUUGAUGCAGUUAGGAUUUGAACCCCGACCCAUUCAUGAUGACUUUAGCUCUGCCUGUAACACCGUGUUCCCUCUCUCUGUGAGAAUAUAUGUGAAUUAUCUUUAAAAUGGUAAAACCACAGAAAUUAUCGUGUGAUGAGCGCUGAGAACAAGGCAUGGCAUGAACUCCAUGAAGUAAAAGGAGAUGUGGAAGUCCUUCUUCAGGAAAGCUCUGAGAAACCAAAAUAAGAUGCCAUUUCGUACACAUGGACUUUUGAAAUGCGGAGUAAUGUGAAAUAACACUAAAGGAAAAGCGGGGCUGUUAUUCCUCCUCCAGGAGGUAAGACUUACCCAGCACUCGUCCAGGAGCUUCAGUGUAGCACUACCGAGCAUCUCCCGUAUGAGAGGCAUGUCACGGCCAUCUGACCGUCCUGGCUUCUGACAUCAGACUUGCAGGAAGUGCCCCCCCACCCCCAGACGUCAGUCAGUACUUUGUGUGCAGCCCACACACUGGGCUACGUGGCUACGGCCUCUCUCCAGGACCCAGAGAACGCCUCCCCUGGAGCCUGGCUCUCCCACCUGAGGACUCGUUUGCUCUGACGCACAAGCCGAGGCAAAGGAGAGUAACCCGUUCAUCGCCAUCACGGAAUUGGCCGCAUAUGGGAUCUGACCCAGAGCUGAAAGGAAGGACAGAGUCCCCCUGUUCUCAAGCAGUGACAAUACGGUGAGGGAUCUCCUCGAGGAGAAGACGGAACGUUUCUGAUUGAUGGUCAACUGUCACCACACUCAGUGCGACUUACUGGCCCCUAAGGUCCCAGGAUUGAGACAUGUUAGGGAAGGCAGAUAUGGUGUGAGCCCCCUCUAGGCCAGAGAAUAAGCUUCUCUACUGGACCUCCAGGCAUCCAGAGAAGGACCAGAGACGAUCAAAGGUGAUCUCGAACUAAGGAGUACCGGUGGAUGCUCAUCCUAGCCUGUGGGAGCACGGAGGGAGGGACUCCCGUGCGGACGCUCAGGGUGCACACGGGUUUCCUGGCCUUUCCGGCAGGAAAUGAGAGAAACACACCGGGAGCACGGAAACGAAGCUGAGACCAGCUCGAGGACAAGCUGACGGAGCUCAUCCUUCAAAUGCACGCAAGCAGUCACUCUUCAGGCCGCAUCACAAAAUGCGCGUCCACUCGGACGGUCGUUGGGGCCCCUCUGAUCCGGCCCCUGGAUGUGACGAUGCCUCCAGAGGAAACCCACCUGACAGCGUGCAACACAAAGCGUCAUUAUUAGGCUGUUUCUCACGGCUCAUGGCCGGUUAACUGCAAACACGGGGUCAGAAACAGUUUUUACACGCUCCUGCUAGAUGGAAAGUGAAAAUUAAACAUGUUGG